rnacentral:rRNA from 1 species
CUACGUGCCAGCAGCCGCGGUAAUACGGAAGGUCCGGGCGUUAUCCGGAUUUAUUGGGUUUAAAGGGAGCGUAGGCUGGAGAUUAAGUGUGUUGUGAAAUGUAGACGCUCAACGUCUGACUUGCAGCGCAUACUGGUUUCCUUGAGUACGCACAACGUUGGCGGAAUUCGUCGUGUAGCGGUGAAAUGCUUAGAUAUGACGAAGAACUCCGAUUGCGAAGGCAGCUGACGGGAGCGCAACUGACGCUGAAGCUCGAAGGUGCGGGUAUCGAACAGGAUUAGAUACCCUGGUAGUCCGCACAGUAAACGAUGGAUGCCCGCUGUUGGUACCUGGUACCAGCGGCUAAGCGAAAGCAUUAAGCAUCCCACCUGGGGAGUACGCCGGCAACGGUGAAACUCAAAGGAAUUGACGGGGGCCCGCACAAGCGGAGGAACAUGUGGUUUAAUUCGAAGCAACGCGAAGAACCUUACCAGGUCUUGACAUCCCUCUGACCUCUCUAGAGAUAGAGAUUUC